CAGAACUUAGCCACUGCUUUGCCUGCAAAUUGGUGGACCUUGUUGACAAUAACACAUAACUACACGUUACUAACCUAACAAAAGAUUAAAAGAACUUUUUUUCAUGGAAUCACUACUACUACGAUAAUGAUCUCCACCAUACCAAAUAAAACAAUAAACCCUUCCUCAAUAAGAGGAGCAAUUUGAUGUGGGCUCAAGAGCCACCAGCAUAAGGGUGAUUACAACAACACUGAGGACAUACCACUUCUACAACCAUCUUUCUUAUUUAGUUGUCUAAACUUUAAGCUCUGCCUCCUUUUAUGAUUCUUUAUGAAAUGAACAGAUCUUUACUCCAUAUUGUCAUCACAGCCUUCAAUUAUAGUGAACCAUCUCUUAACUUCUUUUCAAGUUUUUGCUUCGAAAUUUAGUGAAUCAUUCUAAGUUUCUUGUAGGACAUUUUUAAUAUGGUCCUCAAACCUCAGAAAAUGAAAAAUCAAGUCCUUCAAUAUUAAGAUUUUAUUAAUAAUUUGUUAACUAUAUCUUUUCAAUUCUUAUCAGUAGACACCAAUGAUUGAUUGUUUGACAAAAUCUGAAAGUGCCACACUAGCUUAAGACGGGAGGACUUUGUAAAAUAGUAAAGGCUAGCUCAAUCAAUUAGACAACAUUUGUGAAAAAAAUGACUUAAUUGAACAGGAAAGAAAGUUGAAGACUUGAUUGCACAAAUGUAAAAUUCAGAAACCAUAACAUAAAAAAGUUAUAGUGUAAUGGUCAAAUUCAAAAACAUUCCAAAACUAAUUAAUCAAUCUACUAGCCCCAAGCCCUUUCGAUUACACCCAAAGCAUUUUGAAUUCCAAAUCUAAUUAAUUGAUAAACUAUUCCAAAUCUAAAGUUUAAGGAUUUUUUUAACUAAAUAACACGAAUUAUGUGAAUGAAAUAAAAUAAUCCCAUAAAACAAAAGCAGUCAAAUAAAUUCUGACCUCCAUGGCCAUCAUAAACACCAAAGAAAGAUGUGGAACCGUCCAAAUCUGGAUAAGCCGCAUGCUGUUAAACACCUCAUACAAAUUCAGUAUGCAAAAGUACACAACUUAAGAAAAAACAUGAAACUCUAAGUUCCCUAAAUGGGACUUCAAACUCUGUGUCCUAUGCAGCAUAUAUAUUCUUAUAGAGAAUCAGUGUCAGUUUUAAUUCUGUGUCUUAAUAGCAAUCAUAAUCAGAAAACCUAUCAAUUAUUUAAGCAUGGUUAUUAAACUUUAAUUUCUAUGAGAAAAUACUCAACCUUAAUUUUGUUUCAAUAAGGUUAAUAUUGCUAGAUUUUCAUAGAAUUUCAUCCAAAUUUUUAUUUGAUAAUCAAAUAAAGAAUUUAUUAUUUCGAGUUUCCACUGUUUUCAAAUUGUUGCUACUUUCACCAAACCACAGUUCAUGGCAUUUUAAAUUUAAUGCCUUGCCUAUGAGUUCAAACUUCUGCAACAAGUGCAACAAGAAAAAGGGCAAGCACAACUAUUGUAAUGAUGUUGAUGAUUAUAUCCACACAAGGCCGAUCAAUCUCAUAACUUGAGCAUGUAAUCAUUCAAUCAAAGACCAAAAAUAAACCAGCAUUAAGCAAAAUAACACAAUCACAAAGAGUACUGACAGCAUCUUCCAUGGUUGCACGCCAACCUUGCAUGGAUGACAAGCCAUAUCUGAGGCUAUAAUUCUCACCGUCCUCUGAGAACUUAUCUGUUUUAGGAGAGCUGAGGUAUAUACCCAUCUCUACCUG
rnacentral:misc_RNA from 1 species